AGAUAGGUGGCUCGAAAAACCGUAACGGAGUAAAUCCAUUCGACGUAGGUCCCAUCGGCCAAAGUUUAUCGACCUUCAAUCGCCAAAAAAAAAUUUGUCCAAGAAAUCUAUUUUAAGAUACCUAAUUAGAUAUUCGUAUUUAAUAUUACACGCACAACAACUCACAAAUAAUUUCUAUACAUAGUUAUUCUUUCUCAGUUACGAACGUGACGAUUUUCACUCGAUACAAUAUGACUAAUCCGUUUAAGCUUUAUACAUUAUUAUGUUAACACUCCUCUGUAUCCAAAUAUUCGAUGAAAAAAUAACUGACCAGUUUCAUACUUUUCAAUGGAUUUUGGUAAAGUUAACUGGCCGACUACUAUCAAUCUGACAUUGGAACGAAUGCAUUUACACAAUACGUUGCUUCG